CCCCCCCCCGCAUUCCCCCGUGGCUCCCAAUAACAUUCCAAUGCACCUUUACUAAUCCAUCCCAGUGCCCCCUCAAUUCCCUCCUAGUACCCCCCAGUGCCCACCAGUAACUACCCAGUAACUUCCCAGUCCCCACCCACUUUCUCCCAGUCCAUCCCAGUGCCCUUCCAGUUACUCCCAGUCUCCUCGCAGUGCCCACAAAUUACCACGCAGUAACUUCCCAGUAUGUUUAAGUCCCUCCCAGUCCUAUCCAGUCCACACAAACCAAUUCCCAGUCUCUGCCAGUCAUAUCCCAGUGCUCCCAGUAUCCCCUCUAGUCUCUUACAGUUUCUCUCAGUCCAUCCCAGUCUCCUUCCAGUAGCUCCCAGUAUAUUCCAGUCCCCUCCAGUGCCCACAACCCCCUUCCCAGUCCAUCCCAGUUGCCACCAGUGCCUCCCAAUGCCCCCCAGUAUCUUCCCAGUUUACAGAACUGUUCCCUUCCCAGAACACCCUGUUCAUCCCAGUCCAUCCCAGUGCUCACAGUCCAUUCCAGUCCCCACCAAUCCCUCCCAGUUCUCCAGUUCUUCCCCAGUGUUUUCCAGUCCCUCUCAGUUCCCUCCCAGUACCCUCCACUGCUCCCAGUUUCUCUAAAUCCCUUCCAGUAUCUCCCAGUGCCUCCCAGUCCUCCCCAAUCUCAGUCCUUUGAAGUACAAAUAAAUCCCCUCCCAGUUUGUCCUAGUGCUCCCAGUUUCCCCUCCUAGUUUGUCCCAGUUCUCCCAGUUUCCCCUCUCAUACCCUCCCAGUUCCCUUCCAGUUCCUUCCAGUCUCCUAAUGGCUCCCAGGACCCCCCAGUGUCCACCAGUAACUUCCCAGUUCCUCCCAGUACAUCCCAGUCCCAUCCAGUGCCCACAAACCCCUUCUCAGUAUAUUCCAGUUGCCAUCAGUCCCUCCCAUCCAUAUCCCAGUCCCUUCCAGUUAGUCCCAGUAGCUGCCCAGAAGCUUCCCAGUCCAUCCCAGUUCCCUGUCCCAGCAUGGGCAGCUAAGCUCCACCCCCUAGACUCCACCUGGCACCAGCAGUGGGAGGAGAAACUCAGGCAGUACUGGGAGGCCGUGGAUACCUUACUGGGGGUACCGGGGGUGCCACCCGCCCAGGUGCUGUCCCUGAUCAGCAUCAUCCUGGUGGCCAAUCCCAUUGUGGACACCUGCUGGAACCUGUGUGGACUGGGAGCACUGGGAGGGGGACUGGGAGUGAACCCCAAAUCUGUACCAUAGGCACGGGGAACAAAGACACACAGAGCUCCUUGCUUGCUCCAAAGAAGAGAAUUUAUUGUAACGAACCGAGCCUUUUUGUACUCAAAACUUCACCAAAACUUUACCCAAACAAGCCCGCAUUGGCUCCCUGCCACUGCAGUGUCGCUGUUGGUGUGUCCCUUGACCCAAUCAGCUCUCAGAUCAUGUGGUGUCCACGCGUCUCCCCAGCCAAUCACUGCCUCACACACAAGGUGACCACUAAUCCAUUCUCUGGCCAUCCAGCCCACAGCUGAACCCUUCCCAGAGUGCCUUUUGGUGAUCGGAAGUGAACAGAAGAGAACAGGAUUUAACAAAGGUGAAAAAGGUCCUUAUUCUGUAAGGCUUUUCUUAUUUCCCACAGUUUUGGAACCCAAUGGAACAAGGGCUCUACUGUGACUCAGAGAAGCCUCAUUGAACCAAAGAUACCAUAGUGAGAAGGUUUGGAACCUCAUGGAUCCAGGACUCCAGUAUGAUACAGUGGGGCCUCAUGGAGCUCAGGAGACCCUAGUGAGGGAUUGGAACCUCAUGAAAGCAAGGCUCUGAUGUGAUCUAGCUGGACCUCACGGCAUGCAGAUGGCCACUUCAGUUGAUGGUACUCAUGUGAAAAAGGCAUGCAGCAUGGAACCCAAGAGACCCGAGUGAGCUUAUGGAGCCUCAUUAAACCACAGUUCCAAUGUGUCACAGCAGGGCUUCAUGGAACGCAGGAGAGCAUCAUGAGGUUAUUGAACCCAAUGGAAACAGGGCUCUAAUGAGACUUAGUGGAGCCUCAUGGAACCCAAGAGACCCUCAUGGAACCAAGGCUGCAGUAUGUCACAGAGGGACCUCAUGGAACCCAGGAGAGCAUUGUGAGGCUAUGGAACAAUAUGGCACCAAGGUUCUACUAUGGCUUGACAGGACCUCAUGGAAGCAAGGACAAUUGCGAGCCUAUGGGACUUAGCGCUGCAGGUGGAUUUUCUGUUUCCUCCUGGGAUGCUGGUGGAAAAUAAAGCCUGAGGCAGCCUCCCAUGUGUCUGGCUGUAUCAUCAGUGUGGGGGAAAUUUGUCAACCCUGGCCCUACUGCUGCUCCUGGCUGGGCUUGAAGAUACUGGGACAUGGGUGUGAGGGGAGUCUUGAUGUUCCUCCUCCUUGAGGCAGAGUGGGAAUUUUCCAGAGUGGAAAUCCAUUUUAAAUUAGGUGAAAUGUGCAUCUUUGAGUUAAGUCUGUAGCUUGCUGUUUAGUCUGACUGCCUGUACUUGUGAAGGGCCUGAGCUUGGAGGGACCGCUUCAGCUGAAGGACAAGAGAUAAGGGGGGAGGGGAGAGGGGGGAGCAGACAGAGCAGGGCAACCUGACCCAGGAGUUGUUUCUGAUAAAGAAGAAUUAGUGGCAAAUGUCACACGAAAUCAGUAGAAUGAAUAUGUAUGAACCUAUUGUGAAAUUGCAUGCAUAUGUAUUUGAGAGGGAAAAAAAUGGGAUCUGGAGUUCCCAGAGGUAGGCAUGUCAUUUUAGGGGAACGAUUCCCACAUGCGUCCAGCGCGUAAUAAACAUACCAGCUUUACAACUUUCAGAAAA